rnacentral:rRNA from 1 species
CAGUCGCCGCGGUAAUACGUAGGUGGCAAGCGUUGUCCGGAAUUAUUGGGCGUAAAGGGAGCGCAGGCGGGCGAGUAAGUCUUUCUUAAAAGUGCGGGGCUCAACCCCGUGAGGGGAGAGAAACUACUCAUCUUGAGUGCAGGAGAGGAAAGCGGAAUUCCUAGUGUAGCGGUGAAAUGCGUAGAUAUUAGGAAGAGCACCAGUGGCGAAGGCGGCUUUCUGGACUGUAACUGACGCUGAGGCUCGAAAGCCAGGGGAGCGAACGGGAUUAGAUACCCCCGUAGUCCCUGUCUCUUAUACA